UACGAAGGUCCCAAGCGUUAUCCGGAUUUAUUGGGUUUAAAGGGUGCGUAGGCGGGCUGUUAAGUCAGUGGUGAAAGCUCCGAGCCUAACUCGGAAACUGCCAUUGAUACUGACGGUCUUGAGUACAUUUGAGGUGGGCGGAAUGUGUCAUGUAGCGGUGAAAUGCUUAGAUAUGACACAGAACACCGAUUGCGAAGGCAGCUCACUAAACUGUAACUGACGCUGAGGCACGAAAGCGUGGGGAGCAAACAGG
rnacentral:rRNA from 1 species